CGGGCGAAGUCCCAGGGCCGCAGAGCUGCGCGGGGAAUCUGCCCUGAAGAAGCCGUCUCUUCCACCCCGGACACUUUAAGCAGCGGGGGCGGCAAACGGCGUGAGGUUGCAGACCGGACAGCGAGCCUCCCUCGUUCCGACGUUGUUCUGACCUCCGGGGAUGACAAGUGAGCAAGAAGUGUCCGGUCGGGCCAUCCCCUUCAGAAAAGCAUGCAUGGAGAGGCUGCGGCAGUGACUUAUACUGUGACAUAAUAUGUUUUUGACACAAAAAGUACUUGUCACAAAUGCAGGAUACAAAAGCAACUCUUCUAAGUGUUUUAAAGGGAGCAAGGAAAACCCAGCUUUUAUCAGUCAAUAAUACAUCCGACAUAAAUAAUGAUUGAAAACUGACAGCUACGAGAUGUGAUUGAGGUGCUUCAAAUCCCUGAAAAUGAAAAGCCUUUCUUGGAGUCAGGAGCAGCCAUGUGACUGAGUUCUAGCCAAAAGAAUGUGGAGAAGUAAUGAAUGCGACUUCCAGAUUUGGUCCCUAACAAGCUGUCGUGCCCAAUCCUCCACUCUUCUAUGUCUGCUGGCUGAACAAAUGGUCUCCAAGAUCACAGAGGAAGACAGAGACAGCAUGCUAGGUCUCAUGAGAACUCUUCCAGAGAAUCUUAGAAAUAAAAGGGAGGCUUUGAAUGGGAGCAGGAAAAAGAUGAGACCCCCGAGUUGUACAGAUACUAUUUACUGUCAAGAUGAUACAUGAAAUUACCCAGAGGAAGAGCCUAUAUAAAAAAGAUGGGUAAGAACAGAGCCUUGGAGUCCCCAAAAUUUAGAAGAAAGGAAGAUGAGAAUCUAUCAAAGGAGACUGGAAAGAAGCAAGCUAUGAAGGAGGAGAAAACCCUUUUGGUGUUUUGAGACCUAGAAGACCCUUCAUCAGAGAACUCAAGAAAUUGCUACAAUAAUCAGAUACACACUUGUGCUGAGGAAGAUGGCAGAGUGGGAGUACCAGGGAGAGAAUGAUAAUUUCUCCAUCACCUUGCUCAGGCUUCAGAAGAAAAGGUGCUGGAAGAAUAAAGCCCCUGGCAAUGAAUUACAAAGCAAAGACGAGAUAUGGGGGAACAGCGUCAGAGAAGAUCGCAGGCAGUGAAGACCUUCUUCUUCUAAGAAUAGAAAGAAAGAACUUUUGGUUCCUCAUCGCAUGGAUAAAAGAAAGAAUAAAGAAUCCACGAUGACUGAAUGGGCUGUUCAGCUUUCGGUUUUCCUUCCUUGCCUAUGUCUGUGUCAUCCUGUUUGUGGUUAUUUUGUGUGCCCGUGGAUGGUUCCUAAACAUUUGGAUAUUAGAGAAUAGUAAAAUAUCAAGAACUGUUUUGAAGGCUGAUAGGAACUUGCCAUUAUUUUUUCCAGGUAAGUACAUUUUAGAAGUACUAUCUACUAUAACAUCAUUUUACAAAAGGAAAGCUAUUUUUAACCCUCCAAGAUCCUCUAAUCUCAGACUUUCAUAAUUGAAGAAUUUUACCUUUUUUUGAAACUAAAAUUCUUUACAUUAUUAUUAUUUCUCUCAUUUUUCUUAGGCAGGUUUCAACUUAGUCAUGAACUGGGUUUGUGAACUACUUCCCUAGACUUAAGACUGGAUCAGAGCCUAGACAAUUCUCUGCAUUAAGAAUUCUCUCAGAUGCACAAAACCAUUAGCACUAUUAUAACAUUGUUAUGGUGCAUAAUGAGGUUUGCUCAUAGGAAUUUGCCUAUAUUUGCCCAUUUUGACCUACAAAAAAUGUCAUAUGGUUCGAAUGAAUAUCAUGAUCUUUUUGUCUGCACUUGACCAUUUUAUAAUGUCAAAUAAAUGUUAGAACUAUUACAAAUGUA